rnacentral:tRNA from 1 species
GAAGACAUGGCUCAGCAGUUAAGAGCACUGGCUGUUCUUGCAGAGGAUCUGGGUUUGAUUCCCAGCAUCUGCA